rnacentral:rRNA from 1 species
GUGGGGAAUAUUGGACAAUGGGCGCAAGCCUGAUCCAGCCAUGCCGCGUGAGUGAUGAAGGCCCUAGGGUUGUAAAGCUCUUUCACCGAUGAAGAUAAUGACGGUAGUCGGAGAAGAAGCCCCGGCUAACUUCGUGCCAGCAGCCGCGGUAAUACGAAGGGGGCUAGCGUUGUUCGGAAUUACUGGGCGUAAAGCGCACGUAGGCGGAUAUUUAAGUCAGGGGUGAAAUCCCAGAGCUCAACUCUGGAACUGCCUUUGAUACUGGGUAUCUCGAGUAUGGAAGAGGUGAGUGGAAUUCCGAGUGUAGAGGUGAAAUUCGUAGAUAUUCGGAGGAACACCAGUGGCGAAGGCGGCUCACUGGUCCAUUACUGACGCUGAGGUGCGAAAGCGUGGGGAGCAAACAGGAUUAGAUACCCCAGUAGUCC